CUUUGGUGGGGCGGGAUUCCCAGCGGCCAAUCCGGAGGCGUGUAGGUGAAGGCCGAAGGAGGGAGGCAGGGAACGAAAAGGGGGCGGCCCGGGAGCCUGGGAGGUCCGGCCGCUCGGGUGCGCGCUGUGCGCGGCCUCCAUUUUGAAGUCGGGCAGCUGCGACGGCGGCCGGGUCCGGCCGGGGAAAGGGAGGAGCCAGUCAGUAACAGGCAAGAGAAGCUGGGAAAAAAGCCCAGAUUGUGAUUACCUGGGUCAACCAAGAAUAUGACAAUGUCUCAGAUGGAGGCAUGAACAGUGACCAUGUGGAAAUAGCUGUUCAAUAUCAAAUGAAAGACCCCAUGACACCCAGAGAGAAGCUGGGGAGGAAGCCUCCUGGAAGUUGGAGACUGGAUGAACGAAAUUCAGUGAGUACCAGUAAUACCAUCAGACAGUAAAAACCUCCUGAUGUUCUUCCAAAUCUACACCAUACCUUGCUCCAGCAGCUCGUGACCUAGGCCACAGGUUCUGAUGCAAAGUAGGAAGAAGUACUCUUCUUUGCCAGUGACUUACCUGGAACCCAUCUACUCUGGCUUCCAGCCACCAGAGCAGGAUGAUGUGUGCUUCCAUGACAGCUUCUUGGAUGAGUGUUGCUCUUUUUAGUCAAAUUUCUUCAGCUCUUAGGUUCUAGGAUGGAUUCCACCAGAAGAGUCCCACAUUUUCCAAACAAGAUUUAGCUUGACAGAUUCUCCUCUGCUGACUCAAACUGGGUCAGCUGUCUGCUGAGACAUUCCAUAUUCUUUUGAUGUCUACACUCUGUGAGUAUGAGAAGACUACCAGGUGGAUAGACCCAUCAAUGUGGCACUGCCACGAAAGCCACAGGAAGGAGCAGCAAUCUUCUGGGGAGCCUUUCUUGACAUUCUUAAUCAGAGUCCCUGCCAUCUGUCACCAUCAGUGACCAGAUGAGCUUAUUUCCCCCAGCGCAGUGAGUUGUCCUAGAAAAUCCAGGCCAAACCUCUGUGAGGCAAACCCUCAAGGACUCCUGUGUCCGUUGUGGUGUAGCUCCCUAGGCAUCUGAUUUCUAAGCAAACACUGGAAUCUCCAUCUUAGGUAGAGCUCACAGACAGUUUCAAAAAAGAAAAUGAACAUGGGGGGCCCAGGGAAUUUGGAGUUGGGCAGAGAUGUAUCUUUCUCUACACUAUAGCCACCUAGCUCUGUUCCCUAUGCAAGGUGAUUUGGGGCCAAAGUCAUGUGUCUCUGGGAGAUCCUGUGCUCUUCCAUCUAAUGUGGACCAUCUUAUGGAGAAGCAAGAGUUACACGGGAGAAGUCGGGCUGAUAGGUAGCAGAUAGAUAUAAGGAGUAGGAGCAUGAAAUUAAGGGGAUAAUUCCAUAGUCGGGCCUACCUGCUGGCCAGCCACCAUGCUUUCUUUUAAAAAGAAAUUUACCUAAGGCCACUCUGGCCCUGCUCUAGCUUAAGUCAAUAGGAUGUUACAUUCUUUGACAAACAACCUGUUACUCUUGGAGAUACCCUCUGGUUCAAGGAAUGUAAGUUCUCUCCUGGAAGAAUUUAAGACUCCUCCCUGCCAAUAAGAACACAAAUCACCCUGAAGGAGGGACUUUUGUGACCUUUAUACUGUAGAUUCCAAGACCCAGGAAAACAGAAUAAUUAAAAAUAAAGCCCACCCAACAUAAAAUCUGUAAAAGACAAAAUAACAGCAAACAAACUCCAGUUGGGAUGGGUCAGUGUGGGCCAAUGUGACUGAAAGUUGCCUUUAAAUUUAGCAUGAAAUUAUAAUAGUAAAAUCCACCCUCCCCCCCAACACAUCCCGUGGAUCCAUGGAUUUUAUUAGGGUACCUGCGGAUAAAUUCAUGCACAGUUGGGACUUAAAACUCUGAUGCAAUCCUACUGUCAGUCAAAAGUUGAGAGGUGGUAAUUGGAUAAUACUCUUUAGAAACUUUCCUAAAACCCCCAAUAAAACUAAGAAACAAAGGGACACCACAUCUCUUUCCUCUCUGAGAGGUCCCAUUCUCUCCCUGGAGCAUGUCUUCUCCUUUCUCUUCUAAUAAACCUCUAUGUACUUUCACUAUGUUACUUAAAAUAUUCUUAUGCAAGAACAUAAGAGCUGAGAAACACAACAUGACCCCCAGAUUCCCAGAACCACUGCCAGUAACACAGCCAGAGUGGGAAAGUACCUAGUAUCUGCAGAAGAGCGAUGCUGCCAUUUACCGGGGAUGUGCAAGACAAGGUCAUGUAAAGAACUACAGCAAAACAAUGCUUAUCUGGACCCCUUGAAAAAUUCAGCUAAGAAAGAAAAAGGAACAACCAGUCUAAGGAAAUUCUCCAUCAUGUAAGUUUUCCCAUCUGGAAAACAAUAUCAAAAUACCCUCCUUUAAAUCCGAGACUGCUAAUCUGUGUAGAUCUUGGAACCAUAAAACUAGAUCAAGUCCCCUCAAGUCACUCCUACUUCCUCAAAGCUGUCCAUCAUGCUGGAUAUGGAAAAGUUCCUGGAAUGUGGAAUUUGGGAUUCCUCUAAUGAAGAUAGAUCCUCGAGACACCAGGACCUGAAUAGGACUUGAUUUAACAUACCAUUGAGAAAUGACAGCGACCUUCUAUUCACCUGUGGUCCCGUUUCUCUUUAUCUACUCAUGAACGUUGGGCUUCAGUGCCAAGAAUCGUCAUACUCUGGAGAAGCAAUCAGGGUUUUCAAGCUGCCUUUCGGUCUGCUGGAACAGAAGGUGCUGACAGGGGUGGGAGUGAAGGAAGGCCUCCUUUCAGUUUACUAAUUCUGCAGCCGCCCUCCCCAAACUCCAGCAAAUAUUUUGCGAUGUUGCAAGGUGUUACGAGAAGUGCAAAGCAAGCUGUGAUUCAGCUGGUAUGAAGACUGUGCAAACAAAAAAGGGUGAUCCGUUUUGCAGCAGGCUAUUACUUCUGCCAGAGUCCUCAGACUGGAAUACGAAGAGAGAUUUCUGCAAAGACAUUGUCAUCCUACAUUCUGCCUUUUCUACACAAGACCAAUUUAAAAUAAUUUGGCCCAGUAGUUUCCAAUUUGUGGAUCUCAGACACCUAGGUGCUAUAGAGUUACUGCGAGGGAUCUGCAAACCCAAGUGCAUGUUUUCUCUGUAGAUUGAGUGCAAAAUGUGCUCAUCUAUGUUGGUUACUUUCUGAAUAUGCAUAAAUGUCAU